GAGAAGAACGUAGCGAAAUGCGAUAAGUAGUGUGAAUUGCAGACUUUAGUGAAUCAUCGAAUCUUUGAACGCACAUUGCGCCCGCCAGUAUUCUGGCGGGCAUGCCUGUUCGAGCGUCAUUUCAACCAUCAAGCCCCCGGCUUGUGUUGGGGACCUGCGGCUGCCGCAGGCCCUGAAAAGCAGUGGCGGGCUCGCUGUCACACCGAGCGUAGUAGAUUUCAUCUCGCUCAGGGCGUGCUGCGGGUUCCGGCCGUUAAACCACCUUCAUAACCCAAGGUUGACCUCGGAUCAGGUAGGAAGACCCGCUGAACUUAAGCAUAUCAAUAAGCGGAGGA
rnacentral:misc_RNA from 1 species